CAAGGUUUCUAGAGUAUUUACUGUCGAUAGCAACAGCCCUGGCUUCGCUGCGCAGCAAAUCUCAAUCCGUGUAGCCUCAUUUACUCUUUCUACAUCAAAUUUCGGUGAAUUUCUCACUAUGAAUUCACUUGAUUUUGUGUCCUUCAAAAUGCCCAUCAUGUUCAACUGAUCGGAACCCACUUCAAUUUCUUGUUGCAAGUUUUGGAUUCUCUCAAGUAGCUCCUUCACGUAAUCUAUUGUAUCUCCAAGUAUUGAUGUUCUGUCCAUCUUGCUUAUCUUAGGAACAAUUGAUCUUAGCAUCGAAAGCCGAUCAUUUAACCUCUUUCUUCUUCUUCUCUCCGCCAUUAGGUUCUUUGAUGGCUGCCCCUCCAACUUCUUACCUCUCAUCUUUCUUUCUGGGCAAGAACCAAUAUUGAACACUGGUAUUUGUGGAGACUGAAUUCGCUCAACU
rnacentral:misc_RNA from 1 species